GUGAGGAAUAUUGGACAAUGGGCGCAAGCCUGAUCCAGCCAUGCCGCGUGCAGGAAGACGCAUCUAUGGUGUGUAAACUGCUUUUGUACGGGAAGAAACACUCCCUCGUGAGGGAGCUUGACGGUACCGUAAGAAUAAGGAUCGGCUAACUCCGUGCCAGCAGCCGCGGUAAUACGGAGGAUCCAAGCGUUAUCCGGAAUCAUUGGGUUUAAAGGGUCCGUAGGCGGUUUAAUAAGUCAGUGGUGAAAGCCCAUCGCUCAACGAUGGAACGGCCAUAGAUACUGUUAGACUUGAAUUACAAGGAAGUAACUAGAAUAUGUAGUGUAGCGGUGAAAUGCUUAGAUAUUACAUGGAAUACCAAUUGCGAAGGCAGGUUACUACUUGUGGAUUGACGCUGAUGGACGAAAGCGUGGGGAGCGAACAGGAUUAGAUACCCGUGUAGUCC
rnacentral:rRNA from 1 species